AAUCAAUAUCGUGGUUUGGUUCAUCAUUGGUUUUCUGAUGAAGGACAAAAAAUAAGUAAAAUUAAUAGGCAAAAUCGGGCUAAAUUUGAAGAUGUUCAUUGUAUGGGUUCAAAAAGUCUCCCAAAGUUUAUUGAUGAGAAGAUAAAAAAGGGAAAAGGAGUGUUGCCUGGACGUAAAGAGAUUUACAUUGAUACCCGCACUCGUAAAGAUGGAACAAUUGUCAAUGAAAAGGAUGCAAGAUUGAUU